rnacentral:lncRNA from 1 species
AUGAGGUCAGGAGUUUGAGACCAGCCUGGACAAUAUAGUAAAACCCCAUCUCUACUAAAAAUACAAAAAUCAGCCGGGUGUGGUGGCACGCACCUGUAGUCCCAACUACUCAGGAGGCUGAGGCAGAAGAAUCGCUUGAACCCAGCGGAGGUUGCAGUGAACCGAGAUCACACCACUGCACUCCAGCCUGGGCAACGGAGCGAGACUCUGUCUCAAAAAAAAAAUGAGAAUGAUCAACCAAUGUAUACUUCAUAAAACUGAAACCUUAAUAAGCCCCAGACCCUUUAAAACCCUUAGCCACCAUUUGCCGUCUUAUUCCUGGCUUUAAGAGAUAUUCCAAGAUCUGCUAUAAGAGAUGGGCUGUGCCUGAUCUGGGUCCUAAAUGUGUCUUGACUCAAAACACACCUCCUCGGUGAGUUCCAG